UACAAGCUUCGCGAAAAUAUCUAAACACACGACAGGACAAUUCGCGUUUGCCGCUAAACGAAAUUCCAAUCGGCGAUCCGCAUUCUACCUGCGCAUUCGUGUCGCGCAACACGUGACCAGGCGUCAAGGUGGGGGCGGAGUGGGGGUAACCAGGUUCUCCCACUUUUGUUCGUCCCGCUUGCGAAUCGUUUCAGCGCGAUGUACAGUGCUGGAGGAUACGCCAAGUACCGAGGAGAAGGAAAAUAGGCGAGAAAGAGAGACAGCUACAUAAACACGAAGAACGGAAUACGCUCGGGAGAGGAACGAUAUACAAUACGUGGAAGCUACACGUAUCCGUGAGUACGUGUUCUUUACUCGAGACGUCUAUCCUAUCCUCCGUAAAUUGAAUGUAUGAGUGGCUAGGAGAAAUAAGGAGGGUUACAGAAGAGAGAAAAAAGGUAUAGGUGAAUCUUGACAUUUAUAUGUAUGUGACCUGUCCCGAGGAGGCAUUCGUCUACUACGCAUUAGAAACGUGUAUGUACGUGUUGGUGCCCGCACGUAUUAUUCCGAAGAUUUCUCUAUCCUUCUCACUCUCGCUUAGUGUGUUUUAUGCUUGCGGCUUCUAGCCGCUACGUUUACCGUAUACGAGAGAUUUAAGCACGCUUGUGCACCGUGCAGUGUGCAUAGAAUGGCUGUGUGUAUUGUAUGGGAAAAUUGCUGUAGCUAGAACCAUAGAGGCAUGCUUGUUCCUAGUGUAUCGUGUAUCCUUGCUCUCUGAAACUAAAUUCUGCGCUUGUUCGAUAUCUGGUUCUCGCGAAUUGCUCGCGAUAGGAAAAGGUUGGUUGCGUGUGUGGGCAGAGGCGGCGUGCGUCCCGUCGAUUUGUCGUUUUCCCACAGGCGCGAAGGUUUCCGCGUAGGAGCGCAAAGGACGGAAUCGAUGACAGCCAUGGAGGCAGGAGAAAACCAAGGAGGGGAGGUCUUUUAAAUUAAAGGCGUCAUCGCUUGUAUCGUUCUUGACCUAUGGUCUCCAAACGACGAAAAACAGUUCCACUCGUCAGUCAGAAGACUAGGGAAUUGUUCUGCAAUUAGCGUUUAGGUAUAGUUCUAUUCACAUAUUUAUGAUUCUUAAUCAUGUUCAAAUACAAGUCCAUAGGAUGUCAAAACAUCGAAGUUAAAUCGACGACACAUGUCAGAGUAGUUUAAACUAGAUUUAACGAUGUGUGUAAUCUAGGAAAGAUUAAAGUGACUAUAAGACAAACCUAAUAUAUUAUUGAAACGAACGUAAGGCAAUAAAUGUUGGAAGUCGGGAUACUUUGAAAACUGUUGUGUAUAUACAGUUCCGUAUUAUAUCCAGAGAAACUUCAAUACAAUCCUUCGAAAUAAACGAAGAUUGGACGUUAUGAUAAAAGUUUCGUAUCUUAUCUAAGACAAGUAUUAAACUAUAUAUAUAUUACACGUAAAUGUAUGGUCAGAAAAUAUGCUACAAAUUACUAUUACAUUUAUCGUAUUUCAA